rnacentral:tRNA from 1 species
GAGGCUAUAGCUCAGUGGAAGAGUGCCUGCUUAGCAUGCAUGAGGUCCUGGGUUCCAUUUCCAGUUCCUCCA